rnacentral:tRNA from 1 species
GUUCUUAUAGUUGAAUUACAACGGUGGUUUUUCGUAUCACUGGUCGUGGUGAAACUCCAUGUGGGAAUU